GACGAACGCUGGCGGCGUGCUUAACACAUGCAAGUCGAGCGGUAAGGCCCUUUCGGGGGUACACGAGCGGCGAACGGGUGAGUAACACGUGGGUGACCUGCCUUUAGCUCUGGGAUAAGCCUGGGAAACCGGGUCUAAUACCGGAUAUGACUCCGCGGCGCAUGUUGUGGGGUGGAAAGCCUUGUGCGGCUGGAGAUGGGCCCGCGGCCUAUCAGCUUGUUGGUGGGGUGAUGGCCUACCAAGGCGACGACGGGUAGCCGGCCUGAGAGGGCGACCGGCCACACUGGGACUGAGACACGGCCCAGACUCCUACGGGAGGCAGGCAGUGGGGAAUCUUGCGCAAUGGGCGAAAGCCUGACGCAGCGACGCCGCGUGAGGGAUGACGGCCU
rnacentral:rRNA from 1 species